GUCCCCAUCGUCUAGAGGCCUAGGACACCGCCCUUUCACGGCGGUAACAGGGGUUCGAAUCCCCUAGGGUACGCCA
rnacentral:tRNA from 1 species